rnacentral:rRNA from 1 species
AGAGUUUGAUCAUGGCUCAGGACGAACGCUGGCGGCGUGCCUAAUACAUGCAAGUCGAGCGGACCAAAUCGGAGCUUGCUCUGGUUUGGUCAGCGGCGGACGGGUGAGUAACACGUGGGCAACCUGCCCGCAAGACCGGGAUAACUCCGGGAAACCGGAGCUAAUACCGGAUAACACCGAAGACCGCAUGAUCUUUGGUUGAAAGGCGGCCUUUGGCUGUCACUUGCGGAUGGGCCCGCGGCGCAUUAGCUAGUUGGUGAGGUAACGGCUCACCAAGGCGACGAUGCGUAGCCGGCCUGAGAGGGUGACCGGCCACACUGGGACUGAGACACGGCCCAGACUCCUACGGGAGGCAGCAGUAGGGAAUCUUCCGCAAUGGGCGAAAGCCUGACGGAGCGACGCCGCGUGAGCGAAGAAGGCCUUCGGGUCGUAAAGCUCUGUUGUGAGGGACGAAGGAGCGCCGUUCGAAGAGGGCGGCGCGGUGACGGUACCUCACGAGGAAGCCCCGGCUAACUACGUGCCAGCAGCCGCGGUAAUACGUAAGGGGCGAGCG